AACAGGAGGGUUAGCAGCAGACCUCUUCAUCAUUGCAUUUCCGAUCACCCUCCUGGUAACCACGGCAACGUGAGAGGUGCCCAACCGUGCACAUCAGCACAAGCACCUGCCUGCAUUCUGGGGCGAUAGACUGAGAACAUUUCAAGCAAGGUUAAUUUUUUAUAUUUUAUAUAUGGACUCGAAACGUCAACUCUAUCCCUCUCCUCAGAUGCUGUCAGACCUGCUGAGGUUUUCUCAGACUCCUGGACCGUUUAUUUACUGGCGAGCCACUGAGUCAUUCUUUUGAACUUGCUCAGACCACUGAACCAUGAAGAAGGAAUCUGCAAACAUUGCCAGCCACUGAACGCGUUUCACAACUUCAAUUUACAAUCGGGCAGUGCUGGAGGAGAAAAGUUAUAAUGGGUCCCAAACCAGAUAAACCACGGGAACUAAAAUCGUAACGAAGGACGCCAGAAAACGUAGUUCUGAAGUCACUGUCAAUACAAAGUUGACUAAUAUAAAUCAAGCGAGCAUCAGCAUUGAAACAAAUUCCUGUGCCCACUGCCGUGUCUUCUCCCACAGUGUGUCAUGCUUUGAGAAAUCCCUUUGCGCUCGUUCUGAUGUCUCGGCCACCCAGUAGAAGGAAAAGUUAUUAAGGAGGAACCUUCAGCUACAAAUGUCUCAGAUCUCAAGUCAGCCUUGGGUAAGGUAAAUUAUUAUGGUCAAUUCCUACCCAACCCUAUCAACAGUCCUUGCCCCUCUUACACUCAUUAUUAAAAGAAAACCCAACAUUGGUCUUGGAAGUCACCUCAAGAAGAAGCCUUCAUGAAAGUUAAACAGCUCGUGCACUCUUCAAGGUUGUUAGUACACUAGGACCCGACGCCUCCCCCUAUGCUGUGGGGGGCGGUACACCCUCACAAAAUGGGCAACAGUUCAGAAAGGCCAAUUGGCUAUGUGUCCAGGACCCUCUCUACGGCCGAGAAGGGUUACUCACAAAUCGAGAAAGAAGGAUUAUCGGUUAUCUUUGGAGCUAGAAAAUUCCAUCAAUACGUACAUGGCCAGAAUUGCAGCAUCUAUUUUGCUGUCGUGUUUUCUGUUGGUGUUGGCCCUGGUGUUAUUAAGGGGGGAAAGUGAGCUCUAAGGGGAAAAAUACCUUGAACUGAUCUGUUUGUAGCUUGUUCAUUCAGUAAACGAUUAAGCGAUUUAUCUGAGGAUUCACCAGGGGUUGUUUGGUGACAGUUUCUCAGUCAGAGCUCCUGACUGCAGGAUUUGUUUCCUGUGUUUAAAUUCACCCUCCCAGAGGCUGCUCCAAACCCAUAACCUGGUCACAUGGGGAAGCAGGUCAGAAUCUACCCCCUUCCCUCUGCUCCUGCAUAUCCUUUAGAAUCGAACACUUGAUUUAAUGGCACCUUUC